rnacentral:rRNA from 1 species
CCUUGUACACACCGCCCGUCACACCACGAAAGCUGUCUGUACCCGAAGCUGUCUUAGCCAACCCGUAAGGGAGGCGGACAAUUAAGGUAUGGGGAGUGAUUGGGGUG